rnacentral:lncRNA from 1 species
GAUUAGUUAGAUUAUUGUUUUCUAAAACAUUGCGCGGCUCGUGAUUUUAGAACUCGUUUUAUGCUUUAACCCAUUGAGUGGCUCCACUUGACAAGUAAAAUCCUGUGGCGUUAGACAGUAAAAUACUAAAGUAGGGUGCAUCUGGGUGCAAUGCAACUUAAAGGGUUAAAUUAACCAAAAAAGUUCAUACAUUUGUUUGAAAAAAGAUUUUAACACAGUACCAUGCCUGUUUGUAUUUUGAAGUUCCUUGAGUUAAACAUGAUACUGCAUAAAACCCUAGUAGGGAACCACCUCCAGACCAAUUUACACUCACCUGCGACAAAAUAGGGAGGUUGUGUGCUUGAUUUGCACAGUGCAACUCAAGUUGUAAGCAUCUUGCAUGGGACCAUCUGAUGCACAAGACUUUCCUCUUGAUGAGUAAAAUGAUCUGAUAUCAGACAUUUGAAUUCCUUUGCAGCUUAAGGAGUUAAUCCUAUUUAUCUUAGAGAACAGCAAUUCAACUAUCUGGCUGGCUUGACAAAUAACUAUACACCAACAAUGUGUGCAAAGGCAAUUAAGUGUAUCCUUGGAAAAUUUUAUCUGAGAUUAUGCAGAGUUGUUUACAACUUUUUUGUUCAAGCCUAGUGACUUAUUUCAGUGCAUGAAAAUCAUCCCACCUUUCAUCCUGUCCUGACAAACUGGGAUCAUGUAAACAGCACAUUUAGCCAUUAAGUCGAUUUGCACUCUAAUUUUCCUACUUAUAUUAUUUAACUCUGUCUAACGUCAUACAAUUUUAUUAAGCAGGGGGUGCACUGGCAGUUAAUUAAUGGGUAACUAGACACAUGGGCAGUCUCAUUAUGAAGCAUAAAAUCGUCUAGCGUUGGACAGUAAAAUACUCAAGUAGAGCAUGCAUCAGGGCACAGUACAACCUAAUGGUUAAAUUUGUUUUUUGUAGCAAAAUGGUUUAAGUUUUAUAUCUGAAUUUUUUAUAUUUUUUUGCUUUGUUUUACAGAUCAUUACUUGAACGUGCUGAUGAAAUAUUGAUUUAUAAAAUAUCAUGUUACCAAGAUGACAUGCCUCGAAGAGCAAUACAUGAGGGAAUACCUCUAUUCCUAAUCAAAUUACAACAAUACACCAAAGACAGUAGUUCUCGGAUGAAAUGAAAGGAUUGAUAAAUGUUCAUGGCCAGCAGUGGAUAUUUGUGACUAUAAUAAAUGGAUACAAAGAAACUAUGAUGGAUAAAUAUGGCCCCGUAAUGGAUAUUCAGUUGAUGGACAUACAAAGGUCACAGAAAUGUCUAUUUUCAGGUACUGUUCUUUCUUGUUUGUAGAUACUUGUAUCCAGGCCAUUGUUUGUUUUUUUUUGUUCUGGGUACAAUGAAAUCCGGCAUAAAUCCUGGCGGUCUAAAUGUUCAGUAUAUUUACAAAUUCGAUCUAUUUUCUGUUCAGUAGACUUUGAUAGCUUGAAAGAAAGUUUAUAACGAUGGUUUUCUCUGCAAAAACUGUACUUUCGAAAUUCGUCAGCUUCUGAAUUUGAUAACCGAUCUGAAAAAAAAAGGGAACAUUUGAGUGUAUUGUUAUUGCAUGGUUCUAUAUAUAUUCUAUAUAUACUGCCUUUGUGCACACGCAUAACAAGUGCAGCAACGCAACAGUUUAGACAGGGUCAUGAGGCAGGAUGUGUACAAGAAAAGCUUUGCCAGAGUUUUGUCUUUCGAAAUAGAACGACGAUUGGAAAUUGCUGUUUGAUUCUUUGUAAUAUCUUGUCGCUUGUUAGUGAAAAAGAAAUUUGUCACUUUCCUCAUCUAAGGCCCUGUUUACAUGAGACCGGAACGAAGUCAAACCGGGACCAUUUCGUUUCGGUCACAGUAUUACUUAUAAUAGAUGUUUACAUGAGACCGGGACGAAAAUAACUCAGACCGGUCUCAAGUCAUUCCGCCUGCUGAACCGAACCGACUGACUUCAGACCGGCAUGAAUUCAGACGGGGAUGAAUGUAAACAGAAAUACAUUUCAGACCGGUCUCGGCUGUAACCUUGACAUUGGAACAACACAUGCUAACAAAAGCCAUCUGAAAAAGAAAAUUGCCCUGGCAAGGGGAAUAAGUUGAAAAUUUUGUGAUUUUCGUACCGGUCUCAUGUAAAGAUAUUGACAAUUUCAAUUUUCAUUCCGGUUUGACUUCGUCCCGGUCUCAUGUAAACGGGGCCUAAACCUUUUUUUCAAAAAACUGGCAUCGUUUGUCUUGGGGUUAGGGGGUACAAAUGGUACCCAUAGCUUAGAGGGUGCAAAUGGUACCCGUAAGAAGACUUGGUGGAAAUCAUGUUGGUCGUUUGGAUCGGCGAGAAUAAGACGAUUAUGGUGGCAAAGUUUUUUUAAACAUUUUCUCUCCCGUAGUAAGGUAAAGCAUGUAUUUUCCUGGUAGCCGGUCUUACUUCAUGAAAAAAUAGUCCGCUACCAGUGACUAGGUCCCCUCUCUUAUGGCGGUUAUUCCGGCUCAAUAUCUUCAGGGAUAUUCCUUUUCAGGGCGGUUGCAUGCGGAUAAUAUGGUCCGUCGCGUGCGCAAAAUAGUUAGGGAGUUAGACAGUUUAGAAGCGUCCAAACUGCGCAAUAUACGACACUCACAUGAAACGUAAAAUACUUUAUAAUAAU